CAACCCUCAAGCCCAUUUGGACUUGGUGUUGGGGACCGGCGAUGGACAAACUGUCCUCUCGCCGCCCCCUAAAUGACUUGGCGGCCUCGUCGCGGCCCUCCUCUGCGUAGUAGCACACACCUCGCAACAGGAGCCCGGCGAAUGGCCACUGCCGUAAAACCCCCCCAACUUUUUUCAG
rnacentral:misc_RNA from 1 species